CUUCCGUGGGCUCCUUGACAGACUGGCAAGAAAGCACGUCCCCCGUCCUUCUUAGGCUGCCCCAGGGUCUAGGCAAGGGGCCGGGGGACAGGACACAACCCAGGAGGCCUUGCUUUGUAAGGAAAUGUCUGGGGAGCAGGACCACAGGGAGGAACCAGGGAAGCAGCCCCCAGGACCCCCAGGGGGCCAGACACCUGGGGAAGCCCCCACCGCUGUUCUGGGAUGUGAGCCCUGGGUGGGGGGCCCCUGCCGUAGCCUGUGGGUACAACCCCAUCUUCCCCUCUCAGGGCCGGGUCAGCAGAGGUGGCCAGUGAGGCCCCAGCCCGUGGACUUCACUUUUGAACAAACCCAUCAUGAGUCUGACGCUUCCCUGGAAGGCCUUGUCGCAUAAAUUUCCAUUUGGUGCCCCUGCAUUCCCAUCCUGGGAGCUAUCCGCUGUACUUUGGGAAGGAACUGGGGGUCAAAUGGCCAUGCUUCAGGGGCAGCACGGAUGGUGGCUCAGGGCUGGGUGCCAGACUUUGGCGAGACAAAGGCCCCAGUCCUGUGGAGGCUCAGGACACGGCUCCCGCGGCUGCGGGCCAUCGACAGCCCUCAGCACCCACUCGGGACAAGGAAGUGGGGCUGUCGUUUAAAGUUGGAGGGGCUGAAGGUCGUAUCCCUGAGCGUGCAGACACACAGAGGGAAAGACAGUUAGGCCUUCAAAACACGCUUCUUUUCUUUAAGGUCUGCAGAUAAGACCUGGGAAGCACGAUGGCUCAUAUUUGUGCCGACGCCCCCAUGUGCAAAGCAUUUUCCCACGCAGUGUCCUGUUUGGUUCCACACCCACGCUGAUGAUGAUGUAAGAUGGGAGCAAGCAUCCCUUUUCAUAGCUAUGGAGACUGAGGCUCUGCAGAGCCAGCAGAGGAUGAGAACGUCCUCAGGUAGCGCUCGCCCCUAAGUCAUGACUUUGUCUACAUCACUAAGCCUUACAAGUCUCCAAGGCUGCCUCACUUUCCCCACUGGAUGAUGAGACAGCUGGAGUUUCGAGGGGAUUAUGCCCUUUGCCCAGUGCCCAUGCCCAUGACUACUUGAUCAGCAGGAGCAGGGUUUCAGGCUGCCAGGGUGCCAGCCCUCUCCACUACAUCCAGUGAGCCCUUCUGCUCAGCACUGUUUGUGUGCAUUUGGUAUUGAGGUCCGUAUGAUGACUCGACUCUGCAACUUUCAACCCAGGAGGAAAGAGUCAUAUAGGUUUCCUCAGCCAUUCUCAAAUAGUUUCCUCUGCCAACUGGACGGUUCUAUUCUAGCCUCUUCAACAUAAGGGAUUAAAUUCAGUAUGUAUGGAGGUGAACAUGCCUGACAGGCUGGGGUCAGAGCUGGGCCCUCUGCACUGUGAACAUGGAAGCCGAGGAAGGUGGCUGCCCCCAGUGAACCCUGGAGGGCCUCCUGGAGGAGGUGUCAACAGCUGGGCUACGGAGGCAGCAGACAAAUGGGGGCCAUGCCGGGAGAAGCCAUGUUUUUGUUAGCAACGCUGCCGCUCCGGCCAUUUCCAAUUGGACGGCUUUGGAACAGGAGAAUGCAGGUCAGCAGGUUCAUAAAAACACCUUCCUGGACUUUGUGCACAUGUGAGUGUGUGGUGGGAGAGGCCGUGGGCUGGUCUAGGAAUCAGAGCAUAAAAAUGUCUCUGGUUGAAAAGAAGGGAAGCAUCAAGUUCCUUCACUGGGUCGGCGGGGUAGGAGGCAGGCAUGUGGAUUGCAGGCCUGGUGUGUGAGGCUCAGCACACCAGCCAGGGGCUGACCAGGUGUGACAAGGUUACCAGUUCAGAUGCCACAGAAGGAAGCGUCAGCUGGACUUUCUCGGCUUCAGAUGGGGAUGUCAUGGAUAAGAAAAACGCCUUCCCAGAUGCAGCAGGACAACCCGCGGGUGACAUCGGCUUGCUGGGAAUCCCGAGCUGGCUUCCUCGGCUGCAGGAAUUCGUAGGAUGGAGCAGAGCCACGGAGAGCCAGGCCCCCGUCCAGUGAGCACCGACCGUUCUCAGCACGUGAUUGCAGCCAGAGAGCCCUGGGGCCCUUCCACUUGCAGAUACCUGGGUGUUCUGAUCACGGCUGGGAUGUUGCAAAGGUUGGAAAUCCUCUCUCUGGUUCCAGCCAAGCUAUUGAGCAGAAAGUGAGGUCAGGAGGCUGCAGUGAAGACCCAGGGCCUGGAAGAAUGCCUGGCACGCAGCCCUUGGUGGGAAAGCUGCAGAGUUAAUUCCUAAUUCAAGAAAAGGAAUCAUGGGAAGAGACAGAUGAAAAGUUAUGGGUUGUAAAGUAGCACAAAAAGAGGAAACUUCAGUUGCCAUAUUGAAGGGGGACAGAGGAGAAAACCUCUACUUGUGUCCCCUCUGUCAAGCCCUUUGUAGAAUAUGGGUGAACUAUGUCCUUUCCACUGUGUAAGGGAAAGACUCCCCGAAGUGACUGGAGUGAUGAAACAAUGUCUUCUCAAGAGAGCACCUGGCGCCCAGGGUGCCGCGCGAGCUGCCGAGCCGACAAGCCCCGGGACAGGCGCCAGGUGAGCCCCGGACCUCCUUCUGGGCCUGACUCCCAGCCUCCCUGCUUCCCAGGGGUGACACCUUGGGCAGCUCACCUGCUCUGAACCUCGGUUUUCUUGUCUGUUAAAUGGGGCCAAGUGAGUGCAGACUUCUCAAGGUCGCUGUGGAGACUGAGGGAGAUGACGCCCAGGCAAGGCAGCCUGCUGCCUGGUACGCACCUAGUAACGAGGCUAUUACUUUUUAUCUUGCUGUUAUUUACAUACCAGCCGCUGCGCCAAGGGUCAAGCAUUGAAGGUACACUGAUGAUCAGAACAUCCACCAACAGUUUUGAUGUUUAGUUGGGUAGAUAGACAAGAAACAAAUCACGAGUUAUCUGUUAUCUACGCGUCACUCUGGGAAUGCGGGUUAGGAGUUCGUGGGUUCUCGGUGGGGAGGCCAAGAAAGGUUCUCCCGCAGGGUAUUCAGGGAAUCCUGGAGUGAGUGCCGUGUACAUGAUCACACGUGUGUUCUAUAGACGAGCCGACGCUGACCCUGGGUCCUCAGACUCGCCGCUAGGUACAGGGGUCAACGCUGUACGCACAGGAAAACUCAUAGAAUAAAUAUUUCAU